UGUCUAAUUUAAUAAUGUGAAAAAAUUGAAUGUAUCAUUAAAUAUCAUUUAUUCUAUAUUGUUAUUAUUUAUUUUUUAGUGUGAUAUGUAGUCAAUUAUUAUUGAAUUAAUUAAUAUAAACACGAUCUUAAUUGAAUAGCCUAUCCUAGAUUAUGAGAUGACCUAAAUUUGAUACGGUUCCGUAUAUUUUGCGAUAUGUUUAAUACAUGAUCAUUUCGUCUCUUCCAUCAGCCGCCUUAUUACACUGGAAGUCCAGUCUGAUUAGAGUACCCUCGCUAUCUAGUUGGGAUGCAAAGUCUAUCUACUGGAGCGCGGUCGAUUACCAACCGCCGCCGGUGAACGCUCUCUCUUUUUGUCUUGGACGUCCUAUGUGAACUAACUCUAACCGCCGUUUUUUACGUGUCGCACAUUGACAGUUGUGUCGCUGCAGACUUUUUUGGAGAUGAAACUUUUUAAGAAGAAAAUUACUUCAACUAAACCAGUAGAAUCUAUUUAGAAUAAUCGCCGCCCAGUUUUGACUACACAUCCUAUUAUUUUGGACACACCUAUUUUGACAAAAAAAUCAAUUUUAGAAGAAUCGCUCAUAGAAGAUAAAUUUACGGGAACUCCGAUAAUUGAAACCGAAAAAGAGCCCUCAAACACUUAUACGAACAUUUCAUUAAUGAAUAAUGAAAUUGAACCCGUCAAAAAACUAAACCCAGAAAUUGUUACGAAAACUGAAAUUGAAAAAGAGCCCACUAACACUCCUACAGAAACUUCUGUAAAAGCUGAUAAGUCUUUUAACUCAGACUUUAUACAGUCAAAAAACAAUAAUUCAACACAACCAUUUGAAAUAGUGUCAGGAAAUAUAUUUACAACAAAUCAAGAAAACCGCACCUUAAUAGAAAAUUCACUCAAAUUUAGUAGAAUACAGUCUAAAAAAUUAACAGAAAAUAUUACAACAUCUAACACUAACAGUGCGUUGCUAAGUAAAAAAACUGAACUUUUUACUCUAGAAGGCCUGGAAAAAACUAAAGAGAAUGGAAAUUUAUGUCGUGAAAAUAAUAACAAAAAAUCCGCAACUAGAACUCGGCCUAAGGAUAUUAAAAAACAUUUAUGGGAUAAGAGGUACUUAUUGUUUUCUAAAUUCGACGAAGGAAUCAUGAUGGACAAUGGUAAUAAAAUUAUUAUUUCAACAAAGUUUUUUACUAUAUUUGAUAACGUUUUUUUUUUUUAGAAUCAUUUUAUUCAGUUUGUCCUGAAAUCUUAAGUACACACAUAGUGUUGAGAUGUCCUGGCCUAUAUGUCGCUAUGGAUCCGUUUUGUGGCGCUGGUGGUAACGUCAUCCAAUUGGCCAAAAGAUACAAACAAAAAAUCGCUGUGGAAAACGAUGCUAAUAAAUUGGAAUUCGCGAAAAUAAAUGCUGAGAUUUAUGGAGUCAGGGAGAAAAUUACAUUUAUACUGGGAGAUUUCUUCAAAAUUGCAGAAACCUUAAAAAAAUAUAAGCCACAGGUCAUAGUGACGUCUCCCCCCCAUGGGGCGGCCCUUCGUAUAAGAAACACGAAGUUUACAGUCUCGAAAAACAUAUGUGUAGCAACUACGAAGGAGGCGGUAAAAAACUAUUCGACCUGUUAAGAAGUAUUGCUCCCAACGUAGCACUCUACAUACCUAAAACUACAGGUCGAAACGAGUUGAUACAAUUUGGCAAACUAUUCGAUUUAAACAUGGAAAUUGAACAUAAUUAUAUUGACGAUAGACACGAUUCGAUCACUGCGUUUUUCGGCAGCUUUUUCAACAUGAAUACUAAAUACUUAUCCGACGACAACAAACUUUACACUAAUAAAAAAUUCUUGAAGUAUCCAGAAUCAGCUGAUUACUAUUAUUGUUAAAUAUUAAUUCAAUCAACCUUUACUAUUUUUCGAUUAAGUACUGCUUUGUAUUUUGAUUUUUUCUAAUUAUUGACAUUAAACCGAUAGAAGACACAUACAAAUUUCGAAAUAUUCUAAUUUUUAUGUUAAACGUACUACCGAUUUUCGAAUA